rnacentral:rRNA from 2 species
UACAGAGGUCCCGAGCGUUGUUCGGAUUCACUGGGCGUAAAGGGUGCGUAGGUGGUGAAGUAAGUCGGAUGUGAAAUCUCGGAGCUUAACUCCGAAACUGCAUUGGAAACUACUUUGCUCGAGGGUUGGAGGGGGGACUGGAAUUCUCGGUGUAGCAGUGAAAUGCGUAGAUAUCGAGAGGAACACCAGUGGCGAAGGCGAGUCCCUGGACAACUCCUGACACUGAGGCACGAAAGCUAGGGGAGCAAACAGG